rnacentral:rRNA from 1 species
UGAUCCUGGCUCAGGACGAACGCUGGCGGCGUGCCUAAUACAUGCAAGUCGAGCGAAUCUUGAGGAGCUUGCUCCUUAAGAUUAGCGGCGGACGGGUGAGUAACACGUGGGCAACCUGCCUGUAAGACUGGGAUAACACCGGGAAACCGGUGCUAAUACCGGAUAAUCCUUCACCUCUCAUGAGGUGAAGCUGAAAGUCGGUUUCGGCUGACACUUACAGAUGGGCCCGCGGCGCAUUAGCUAGUUGGUGAGGUAACGGCUCACCAAGGCGACGAUGCGUAGCCGACCUGAGAGGGUGAUCGGCCACACUGGGACUGAGACACGGCCCAGACUCCUACGGGAGGCAGCAGUAGGGAAUCUUCCGCAAUGGACGAAAGUCUGACGGAGCAACGCCGCGUGAGUGAUGAAGGCCUUCGGGUCGUAAAACUCUGUUGUUAGGGAAGAACAAGUACCGGAGUAACUGCCGGUACCUUGACGGUACCUAACCAGAAAGCCACGGCUAACUACGUGCCAGCAGCCGCGGUAAUACGUAGGUGGCAAGCGUUGUCCGGAAUUAUUGGGCGUAAAGCGCGCGCAGGCGGUCC